CGACGUAAAGAACUUGCCUCACAGAUAGGGACAACAUUUGGAAACGAAUGCUAAUACCUGAUAUUAUGAUUUUAGGGCAUCCUAGGAUUAUGAAAGCUAUAUGCGCUGUGAGAGAGCUUUGCGUCCCAUUAGCUAGUUGGAGAGGUAACGGCUCACCAAGGCGAUGAUGGGUAGCCGGCCUGAGAGGGUGAUCGGCCACAAGGGGACUGAGAUACGGCCCUU
rnacentral:rRNA from 1 species